rnacentral:rRNA from 1 species
GAUGAACGCUGGCGGCGUGCCUAAUACAUGCAAGUCGAGCGAACAGACGAGGAGCUUGCUCCUCUGACGUUAGCGGCGGACGGGUGAGUAACACGUGGAGAACCUACCUAUAAGACUGGGAUAACUUCGGGAAACCGGAGCUAAUACCGGAUAAUAUAUUGAACCGCAUGGUUCAAUAGUGAAAGACGGUUUUGCUUUCACUUAUAGAUGGAUCCGCUCCGCAUAAGCUAGUUGGUAAGGUAACGGCUUACCAAGGGAACGAUGCGUAGCCGACAGGAGAGGGUGAUCGGCCACAUUGGAACUGAGACACGGUCCAGACUCCUACGGGAGGCAGCAGUAGGGAAUCUUCCGCAAUGGGCGAAAGCUUGACGGAGCAACGCCGCGUGAGUGAUGAAGGUCUUCGGAUCGUAAAACUCUGUUAUUAGGGAAGAACAAAUGUGUAAGUAACUAUGCACGUCUUGACGGUACCUAAUCAGAAAGCCACGGCUAACUACGUG